rnacentral:rRNA from 1 species
UAGAGUUUGAUUCUGGGCUCAGGAUGAACGCUAGCGACAGGCUUACCACAUGCAAGUCGAGGGGCAGCGAGGGCGUAGCAAUACGCCUGUCGGCGACCGGCGCACUGGUGAGUAACACGUAUGCGACCUGCCCCCUACAGGGGUAUAACCCGUAGAAAUGCGGACUAAUCCCCCAUAGUCCCGUUGGCUGCAUGGCCAUCGGGGGAAAGGGUUUCCGGUAGGGGAUGGGCAUGCGGCGCAUUAGCUAGUUGGCGGGGCAACGGCCCACCAAGGCGACGAUGCGUAGGGGUUCUGAGAGGAAGGUCCCCCACACUGGUACUGAGACACGGACCAGACUCCUACGGGAGGCAGCAGUGAGGAAUAUUGGUCAAUGGGCGCAGGCCUGAACCAGCCAAGUCGCGUGAGGGAGGACGGUCCUACGGAUUGUAAACCUCUUUUGUCGGGGAGUAACGUGCGGGACGGGUCCCGUAUUGAGAGUACCCGAAGAAAAAGCAUCGGCUAACUCCGUGCCAGCAGCCGCGGUAAUACGGAGGAUGCGAGCGUUAUCCGGAUUUAUUGGGUUUAAAGGGUGCGCAGGCGGCGCGCCAAGUCAGCGGUCAAAGUUCCGGGCUCAACCCGGUGUCGCCGUUGAAACUGGCGUGCUCGAGUGCGUGCGAGGAAGGCGGAAUGCGUUGUGUAGCGGUGAAAUGCAUAGAUAUGACGCAGAACUCCGAUUGCGAAGGCAGCUUUCCAGCGCGCUACUGACGCUGAGGCACGAAAGCGUGGGGAUCGAACAGGAUUAGAUACCCUGGUAGUCCACGCAGUAAACGAUGACUACUAGCUUUCCGGGGCGACUGUGUCCUGGGAGGCACAGCGAAAGCGUUAA